rnacentral:lncRNA from 1 species
CACCCCCUGCCUGGGGAAGGGCCAUUCUGAUGUGGGGAUGAGAUCGUUAUGGGGGCGGGGGGUGUCUUUCCGGAACCUCGGUCUCCAUGGUGGGCUGGUGUACCGAGCAAAAUGAGUAUCGCUGCUUCUUUUCCGUGAAAAAAGAAUGAUUAAGGUGAUUGCUGUAUAGACUUGGUGUGCUGGAUGAUUUUUGAAAAUAAGGUGUUCAUCAGUUUCUAACAGCCAUGGGACUUCCUUCUGUUCUGCAACAAUCAUUGGAUCUUCUUAUAGUCUCAGAGAUACUUGUGACACUGUAUUCAGUGGGUAACUAAGCUAUUGCUAAAUUGAUACAAACAGCCUGCAGUUCAUGGGGCAAUAACUUUUUUCAAAUGUUUAAUGACUUUAAAGUGGCUUAAUAUAAUGGAACAUUUUUACUCAUUAAUUAUAUCUACAUAUAUCUGAUAUUUAAGAAAAAUGUGGAAGUAUCUGUUUUUGGAUUUGUGGGUCACUAGGGGACUAAGAUAAAAUAUAUCGUCAUCUCCUUUGGCCCUCUUUAACAUGGUUUACAAGGGAACCAUUUGGUGACAGUGAAAUUAUAGCAGCCUCCUUUGCAGUUUCUUGUAUUAUUAUUCUAGGCUUUUUUUUUUAAAUUGUUCUUUACCUCAUUUUCUCCAUGCCACCAUCUAGGACAUUAUUUAGUCUUACAAGGCUCUAAACAUCACUGCAUUUGGAAAAGGAGUAAGAUACUCAAAAAAGCUGCAGUAUUUUAAUGGAGGAAAUUAGAUCUACCACUCCUCUGUCCUACUCUCCAAAAAAGUUUCAACAUUGUGACUAAAGGUUCCUCUCUCCCAGAACUGAAGUGAAUUGUGUGGAAAGCAUAGCCAGUAAAACUGACUAGAUGGUAAUAGACUUUCUUUAUGACUUUUCUGAACUUGCACCAACACUUCUUUCAAGGGCUAGCUACUCUGACAACUCAUAAUGAAGAUAACAAUAUUACUUGGCUAUAAUCAGAUCAGUUAAGGGUAGCUAGGUGGUAUAGUGGAUUAGUGCUGGGCCUGAAGUCAGGAAGAUUCAUGUUCCUGAAUUCAAGUCUGGCUUUAGACACUAGCUGUGUAUUUUCCUUAGUUUCUUCAUCUGUAAAAUGAUCUGGAAAAGGAAAAAGCAAACAACUCCCACAUCUUUACCAAGAAAUCCCAAAUGGGGUUCGCAAAGUAUCUGGCAUGACUGAAAAACUGAACAAAUGAUCAUUAGGUUCUAGUUGUCCAGCAAUAGACAAUUAGAUUUGUUUGCAUUUCCCAUAAAAGCAAACAAAUAGCCAGUGUGUCUCCCUUCCCUCCCAAAAAACACAGUUCAUACAUAUUAAGAACACAAAAUGCACAAUCUAAUUUAAAACUUAUUUACCUUUUAACAAUUUUAAACUAGAAGAAAAUGAUUUCCUAGGAAAAUAGAG